AUGGCUUGGGCUCUGCUCCUUGUCACCCUCCUCGCUCAGGACACAGGGUCCUGGGCCCAGUCUGUCCCGACUCAGCCUCCCUCAGUGUCCGGGAAUCUGGGACAGACAGUCACCAUCUCUUGUACUGGAACCAGCAGUUAUGUCAGCUGGUACCAACAGCUCCCAGGCAUGGCCCCCAAAAUCCUGAUUUAUAAUAACAAUAAUCGGCCUUCAGGGAUCCCUGAUCGCUUCUCUGGCUCCAAGUCUGGGAACACGGCCUCCCUGACCAUCUCUGGGCUCCAGGCUGAGGAUGAGGCUGAUUAUUACUGUAGCUCAGAUACAAGUAGUAGCACUUUGCACAGUGGUCCAAUUUCAUGGGGAAGUGAGACCAAAACGUCCCUGAGCUCACAGGCUCCCUAUUGCUCUGCAGAUGCUUCUCCUCCCUGA